rnacentral:rRNA from 1 species
GAGUUUGAUCCUGGCUCAGAUUGAACGCUGGCGGCAGGCCUAACACAUGCAAGUCGAGCGCGAAAGGCCUUCGGGCUGAGUAGAGCGGCGGACGGGUGAGUAACGCGUAGGAAUCUACCUGGUAGUGGGGGACAACUUGGGGAAACUCAAGCUAAUACCGCAUACGCCCCAUGGGGGAAAGCGGGGGACCUUCGGGCCUCGCGCUAUCAGAUGAGCCUGCGUAGGAUUAGCUAGUUGGUGAGGUAAAGGCUCACCAAGGCGACGAUCCUUAGCUGGUCUGAGAGGAUGAUCAGCCACACUGGGACUGAGACACGGCCCAGACUCCUACGGGAGGCAGCAGUGGGGAAUAUUGCGCAAUGGGGGCAACCCUGACGCAGCCAUGCCGCGUGUGUGAAGAAGGCCUUCGGUUGU